GAGAGAGAGAGAGAGAGAGAGAGAGAGAGAGAGAGAGAGAGAGAGAGAGAGAGAGAGAGACCUAACGAAGGAAACGAAAUGUAAAGAAAAUGAAUACAGAGAAAGUGAAGAAAAGGAAGGAGACAAGGAAAGAAAUAAUAAAGAAGAAAGAAAAGAAGUGAAAGUAGACAAACAAGGAAAGAAAGAAUAUGGAAGAAGAAAUUAAGUGGUAAAAUUGAGAGAACAUGAAAGAAGGAAUAAAAAAGGGAAAUAGAGAAAAAGUGGAUUAAAGAGAGAAAGAGAGAGAAAAACAGAGAAAAGACCACAACGAGAGAAAUGAGAGAAGAAAAGAAGGAACAGGAAAGAAGGAAUAAGAAAGUUACUAUACCUUAAAGAAAGAAAGAGGAAGAAAACAAAAAAGAAAGAAGGACAAAGAGCAGAAAAGAAAACAAAGAUACAAAGGAGAGACGGACAGAAAUAAAAAAAGAAACGAAGGAGGGACAGGGAGAAAAGGAAAGAAAACAAAAAUUACGAAAGACGGGAAAAAAGAAAAGAACGAAGGAAAGACAAAACGAAAAAGGAAAGAAAAAAAGAAAAAAAAACAAUGUGACCUUUAAUAGCCACCCCCUAACCACAUCUCCCCCCCAAAAAAAAAAAUAAAAUAAAAUAAAAUAAAUAAAAAGUAAAUAAAUAAAUACAAAAAAAUCUUAAUCUUAGACCUUCAUGUGUGCGUGUGUGCGUACGUGACGUGACGCGUGUGUGUGUGUACGUAACCAAAACCCUACAUGUACAGUACGUGUCAAGAUGGAGGACGAGGAGAAAGUACUAGAGGGAAUGAGAACACUGCACAGUGACCUUGUAACCUGGCAUGCGACCCGGGAUGACCUGAACAGCACGUGGGGACAAGGAGGAGGAAUAGAAGGAAUAGAAGGAAUAGGAGAGGAACUGAACCAAACAUUAUGGGAAGAUACAACAAACACGAGUGAUCCAGACCAGCAAUUAGUGUUCAUACUGGCAGGUGUGUUCUCUCUCUGCUACCUGCUGGCGGGGAUCAUUGCCUGCAGGUGUUACUGGCUGUACCUCAAGAAGAGAACCACGGGCACCCUUGGUCUUCGAGAGGCCCUGCGGCGAGGCGUGAAGGACGACGAGGAGGAGGAGCGAGGCAGGGAUGGUGAUGAUGGUGAUGGUGGUGGUGAUGGACAAGCUCAUGAUGAUGAUAAUGAAUUCCUAGACGCCAGGUGUUGCUAGACAGACACGGGAAGCAACCACCACCACCACCACCACCACCACUACUACUACUACUACUACUACUACUACUACAACUACUACUACCACCACCACCACCACCAUCACCACCACCACCACCACCACCACUACUACUACUACUACUGCCACCACUACCACCACCACCACCACCACCACCACCACCACCACUACUACUACUACUACUACUACUACUACUACUAGUGAAGUCCCAUCGUGCGGGUUUCCUCGAUCCUCCUUCAUCAUAAGCACAAGAAGGAAGGAAGGAAGGAAGGAAGGAAGGAAGGAAGGAAAGGAAAAAGAAAAACGAAAGAGAACGAACAAAAUGAAGGAAGGAAGGAAGGAGGGAAAAGUGUCGUAAAGGAAGGAAGGAGGGAAGGAAGGAAUCAAUCAAUGAAGGAAGGAAGAGAAGGAAGAUAAGACAGUCUGAGUUGUGAGGUUAAUUAAGGAAAGGUGUUAUUGGUAGUAGUAGUAGUAGUAGUAGUAGUAGUAGUAGUAGUAGUAGUAGUAGUAGUAGUUUCACAUUUGUAUUGUUUUCAUUAUUUUGUUCUGUCACUAUUUCAGUUCACAAUGUCAGUCAGUCAGACAGUCAGUCAGUCAAUCAGUCAGUCAGUCAGUCAGUCAGUCAGACAAAGGAAGGCUCAGUCAGGUUAUUAUAGUAAAAAUAACUGUAAACGAGGAAACAAGUAUAAGCUAAUUAAAUUGUACAAUGUGUGUGUGUGUGUGUGUGUGUGUGUGUGUGUGUGUGUGUGUGUGUGUGUGUGUGUGUGUGUGUGUGUGUGUGUGUGUGUGACUAUUUCGUUUUCUUAGUGUAUUUUAAGUGUUUUGUUCUGUUUGUCUGUGUUAACUAUAAAACAACAACAAAAACAUUAUUCUUGUUAUUACUACUACUACUACUACUACUACUACUACUACUACUACUACUACUACUACUACUACUACUACAACUACAACUACUACUACUACCAUUACAUAACAUACAUCAGUAACGAAUAAGAAUAAGAUUACAAAUAUACCAAUACCUCUAUAUUCCUAUGUACAAAAGAAAAAAACAUAUACAAACAUACAAAAUACAAUUCCUCCGAAGCUUUAAUGAAAAAAUAAAUAAAAAUCUACCUCCUCGAUUAUAUAUCCAUAGAAAUUAUAUUUAUAAAGAGCUUGGUAUAACAAUUUAACUACACACACACACACACACACACACACACACACACACACACACACACACACACACACACACACACAACCAAUCUUUUCAUAUGUAUGCCUAACAAAUUUUGUAUACAUAUAUUGCACACGUGUAUGUAAACUUUUGCAUGUAUGUAUCCAUGUAUA